GAGAGAAUUAAAAUUUUCACUUAUUUUCCCGACAAAGAUUGGGAGAGAGAUACCUGCAACUCAGAUGUCUUCUAAUGGGAAGGCACAACAAAUAGUCUCUAGUCCCUUAAUUAAUGAACCAAAAGCGUCUUACGACUGGCACACAAUCGUCUCUUGGCUGGACACAAGCCUUUCUCCGCUGGACACAAGCCUCUCUCCACUGGAACCAAAGCGUCCCUUGGCUGGCACCAUAGUGUUUCUCCACUGGAACCCAAGCCAGGACCUUUGUCCAGCUUCGCUCUUAUAUAGCGCUGCCCUCUCCUUCACCUUUUCUCCCAGAACGGCUGUUAUUGUCUCUUACACAAAUUGAUCUAAGAUCGAG
rnacentral:lncRNA from 1 species